UGAUAUAUUCUGGAAGUGUCUGCUCUAUCCAAAUUACAACCAACUGAUAUAUUCUGGAAGUGUCUGCUCUAUCCAAAAUCACAACCAACUGAUAUAUUCUGGAAGUGUCUGCUCUUUCCAAAAUUACAACCAACUGAUAUAUUCUGGAAGUGUCUGCUCUUUCCAAAAUCACAACCAACUGAUAUAUUCUGGAAGUGUCUGCUCUUUCCAAAAUUACAACCAACUGAUAUAUUCUGGAAGUGUCUGCUCUAUCCAAAAUCACAACCAACUGAUAUAUUCUGGAAGUGUCUGCUCUUUCCAAAAUUACAACCAACUGAUAUAUUCUGGAAGUGUCUGCUCUAUCNNNNNNNNNNGUAAUGGUAGUAAUGGUAGUGAUAGUAGUAGUAGUAGUAAUAGUAGUAAUGGUAGUAGUAGUAGUAUUAGUAAUGGUAGUAGAAGUACUGGUAGUAGUAGUAAUAGUAGUAAUGGUAGUAGUAGUAGUAUUAGUAAUGGUAGUAGUAGUAGUAGUACUGGUAGUAAUGGUAGUGGUAGUAGUAGUAGUAGUUAUAGUAGUAAUGGUAGUGGUAGUAGUAGUAAUGGUAGUAGUGUAGUAGUAGUAGUAUUAGUAAUGGUAGUAGUAGUAGUAUUAGUAAUGGUAGUAGUAGUCGUAGUACUGGUAGUGGUAGUACUGGUAGUAAUGGUAGUAGUAGUAGUAUUAGUAAUGGUAGUAGUAGUAGUAGUAGUAGUACUGGUAGUGGUAGUAAUGGUAGUAAUGGUAGUAGUAGUAGUAUUAGUACUGGUAGUAGUAGUAGUACUGGUAGUGGUAGUAAUGGUAGAAAUGGUAGUAGUAGUAGUAUUAGUAAUGGUGGUAGUAGUAGUAGUAGUACUGAUAGUGGUAGGAAUGGUAGUAAUGGUAGUGAUAGUAGUAGUAGUAGUAAUAGUAGUAAUGGUAGUAGUAGUAGUAUUAGUAAUGGUAGUAGUAGUACUGGUAGUAGUAGUAGUAAUAGUAGUAAUGGUAGUGGUAGUAGUAGUAAUAGUAGUAAUGGUAGUAGUAGUAGUAAUUCGUUAGGUAAAAAGUUGGAUAUUAAAUUGUGUGGUCUGUUGCGCAGUCAAAUGUUACAAUAUACAGCCUGUCCCACAAAAUGUGUAACUAUGUUGUUUUUCUUUUUAAACUCUCACAACUUAACUUACAUAAAUUGCAUUGGAAAUCGGUGGUCAGUUAGCUAGAAGGGUGUCUUUAGUUGCAAAACUUACCAUUAUUUCCCAGCCCAUUUAAAUGUUGAGGCUAGAGGUGAUUUAGUCCCCUAACUAACCGAUUGAGUCUGUUAUGGGAAGUCGGAUGCUGGGGGAAAAUGUAGCUAUUCCUCAUGUUGUUAAUUUUCUCUCUGCAUUGUUGGGAAGGACCUGUUAGCAUUUCACUGUUAGUCUACACCUGUUGUUUACGAAGGAUGUGACAAAUUCAAUUUUGAUUUAGACAGCUGAUAACACCAUGGACAUCACAUCCUCUGUUAGACAGGGCCAGCUGAUAUUACCAUGGACAAAACAUCCUCUCUAGAUUUUAUCACACUAAUGUCUGCUCUUCUCUAACAGAUUGUACUCUCACAGACUGAACUCUCACAGGCUGGACUCUCACAGGCUGGACUCUCACAGGCUGGACUCUCACAGGCUGGACUCUCACAGGCUGGACUCUCACAGGCUGGACUCUCACAGGCUGGACUCACGCAGACUGGACUCUCACAGGCUGGACUCUCACAGGCUGGACUCUCACAGACUGGACUCUCACAGGCUGGACUCUCACAGACUGGACUCUCACAGACUGGACUCUCACAGACUGGACUCUCAGGUGUUAGAGAUAUAUAAGUUUAAUAGAUGGUCUAUAUACUGUCUAUCCAGUCUAAUAGAUGGUCUAUAUACUGUCUAUCCAGUCUAAUAUAUGGUCUAUAUACUGUCUAUCCAGUCUAAUAGAUGGUCUAUAUACUGUCUAUCCAGUCUAAUAGAUGGUCUAUAGAUUGUAUAUCCAGUCUAAUAGAUUAUAUAUAUACAUCCAGUCUAAUAGAUGGUCUAUAUAUACAUCCAAUCUAAUAGAUUAUAUAUAUACAUCCAGUCUAAUAGAUUAUAUAUAUACAUCCAGUCUAAUAGAUUAUAUAUAUACAUCCAAUCUAAUAGAUUAUAUAUAUACAUCCAGUCUAAUAGAUGAUAUAUAUACAUCCAGUCUAAUAGAUUAUAUACAUACAUCCAGUCUAAUAGAUUNNNNNNNNNNCACAGACUGGACUCUCACAGACUGGACUCUCACAGACUGGACUCUCAGGUGUUAGAGAUAUAUAAGUUUAAUAGAUGGUCUAUAUACUGUCUAUCCAGUCUAAUAGAUGGUCUAUAUACUGUCUAUCCAGUCUAAUAUAUGGUCUAUAUACUGUCUAUCCAGUCUAAUAGAUGGUCUAUAUACUGUCUAUCCAGUCUAAUAGAUGGUCUAUAGAUUGUAUAUCCAGUCUAAUAGAUUAUAUAUAUACAUCCAGUCUAAUAGAUGGUCUAUAUAUACAUCCAAUCUAAUAGAUUAUAUAUAUACAUCCAGUCUAAUAGAUUAUAUAUAUACAUCCAGUCUAAUAGAUUAUAUAUAUACAUCCAAUCUAAUAGAUUAUAUAUAUACAUCCAGU
rnacentral:lncRNA from 13 species